rnacentral:rRNA from 1 species
CCUGUGAAGGUGUGCUGUGAGGCAUGCUGGAGGUAUCAGAAGUGCGAAUGCUGACAUAAGUAACGAUAAAGCGGGUGAAAAGCCCGCUCGCCGGAAGACCAAGGGUUCCUGUCCAACGUUAAUCGGGGCAGGGUGAGUCGACCCCUAAGGCGAGGCCGAAAGGCGUAGUCGAUGGGAAACAGGUUAAUAUUCCUGUACUUGGUGUUACUGCGAAGGGGGGACGGAGAAGGCUAUGUUGGCCGGGCGACGGUUGUCCCGGUUUAAGCGUGUAGGCUGGUUUUCCAGGCAAAUCCGGAAAAUCAAGGCUGAGGCGUGAUGACGAGGCACUACGGUGCUGAAGCAACAAAUGCCCUGCUUCCAGGAAAAGCCUCUAAGCAUCAGGUAACAUUAAAUCGUACCCCAAACCGACACAGGUGGUCAGGUAGAGAAUACCAAGGCGCUUGAGAGAACUCGGGUGAAGGAACUAGGCAAAAUGGUGCCGUAACUUCGGGAGAAGGCACGCUGAUAUGUAGGUGAAGUCCCUCGCGGAUGGAGCUGAAAUCAGUCGAAGAUACCAGCUGGCUGCAACUGUUUAUUAAAAACACAGCACUGUGCAAACACGAAAGUGGACGUAUACGGUGUGACGCCUGCCCGGUGCCGGAAGGUUAAUUGAUGGGGUUAGCGGUAACGCGAAGCUCUUGAUCGAAGCCCCGGUAAACGGCGGCCGUAACUAUAACGGUCCUAAGGUAGCGAAAUUCCUUGUCGGGUAAGUUCCGACCUGCACGAAUGGCGUAAUGAUGGCCAGGCUGUCUCCACCCGAGACUCAGUGAAAUUGAACUCGCUGUGAAGAUGCAGUGUACCCGCGGCAAGACGGAAAGACCCCGUGAACCUUUACUAUAGCUUGACACUGAACAUUGAGCCUUGAUGUGUAGGAUAGGUGGGAGGCUUUGAAGUGUGGACGCCAGUCUGCAUGGAGCCGACCUUGAAAUACCACCCUUUAAUGUUUGAUGUUCUAACGUUGACCCGUAAUCCGGGUUGCGGACAGUGUCUGGUGGGUAGUUUGACUGGGGCGGUCUCCUCCUAAAGAGUAACGGAGGAGCACGAAGGUUGGCUAAUCCUGGUCGGACAUCAGGAGGUUAGUGCAAUGGCAUAAGCCAGCUUGACUGCGAGCGUGACGGCGCGAGCAGGUGCGAAAGCAGGUCAUAGUGAUCCGGUGGUUCUGAAUGGAAGGGCCAUCGCUCAACGGAUAAAAGGUACUCCGGGGAUAACAGGCUGAUACCGCCCAAGAGUUCAUAUCGACGGCGGUGUUUGGCACCUCGAUGUCGGCUCAUCACAUCCUGGGGCUGAAGUAGGUCCCAAGGGUAUGGCUGUUCGCCAUUUAAAGUGGUACGCGAGCUGGGUUUAGAACGUCGUGAGACAGUUCGGUCCCUAUCUGCCGUGGGCGCUGGAGAACUGAGGGGGGCUGCUCCUAGUACGAGAGGACCGGAGUGGACGCAUCACUGGUGUUCGGGUUGUCAUGCCAAUGGCACUGCCCGGUAGCUAAAUGCGGAAGAGAUAAGUGCUGAAAGCAUCUAAGCACGAAACUUGCCCCGAGAUGAGUUCUCCCUGAC